UACAUGGGUUGCAAACGUUGCUCGGAGUUCUUGGGCGUAAAGCGCGCGUAGGCGGCCACUUCAGUCGGAUGUGAAAGCCCCUGGCUCAACUGGGGAAGUGCACCCGAAACUGAAUGGCUUGAAUACAAAAGAGGGUCGCGGAAUUCCCGGUGUAGAGGUGAAAUUCGUAGAUAUCGGGAGGAACACCGGUGGCGAAGGCGGCGACCUGGGUUGAUAUUGACGCUGAGGCGCGAAAGCGUGGGGAGCAAACAGG
rnacentral:rRNA from 1 species